GUCUACGGCCAUACCACCCUGAACGCGCCCCAUCUCGUCUGAUCUCGAAAACUAAGCAGGGUUGGGCCUGGUUAGUACUUGGAUGGGAGAAAUCAGUGUAUGUGACA
rnacentral:rRNA from 1 species